UGGGGAAUUUUGGACAAUGGGGGAAACCCUGAUCCAGCCAUCCCGCGUGUGCGAUGAAGGCCUUCGGGUUGUAAAGCACUUUUGGCAGGAAAGAAACGCCAUGGGUUAAUACCCCGUGAAACUGACGGUACCUGCAGAAUAAGCACCGGCUAACGACGUGCCAGCAGCCGCGGUAAUACGUAGGGUGCAAGCGUUAAUCGGAAUUACUGGGCGUAAAGCGUGCGCAGGCGGUUCGGAAAGAAAGAUGUGAAAUCCCAGAGCUCAACUUUGGAACUCCAUUUUUAACUACCGGGCUAGAGUGUGUCAGAGGGAGGUGGAAUUCCGCGUGUAGCAGUGAAAUGCGUAGAUAUGCGGAGGAACACCGAUGGCGAAGGCAGCCUCCUGGGAUAACACUGACGCUCAUGCACGAAAGCGUGGGGAGCAAACAGG
rnacentral:rRNA from 1 species